rnacentral:tRNA from 1 species
GUCUAUGUAAUUUAUACAAAAUACUGGUCUUGUAAAUCAGAAAAAGGCUUUACCUCUUAGACU